rnacentral:snoRNA from 7 species
GCCUCCUAUGCUUACCACAGGCUGUGUUCCUACACUGACCAUAUAGAAAGAGGAGGCAGAAUAAACCUAUCCUAUGUACACUUCAGCCUAGGCCACUGUGUCUGGUCUGUCUUGUAAAUGGGGAGACAUGU